UACGGAGGGGGCUAGCGUUGUUCGGAAUUACGUGGGCGUAAAGCGCGCGUAGGCGGACCUGCAAGUCGGGGGUGAAAGCCCGAAGGCUCAACCUCCGGAACUGCCUUCGAUACUGACGGGUUCUGCGAGUCCGGGAGAGGUGAGUGGAAUUCCUAGUGUAGAAGGUGAAAUUCGUAGAUAUUAGGAAGAACACCAGUGGCGAAGGCGGCUCACUGGCCCGGGUACUGACGCUGAGGCGACGAAAGCGUGGGGAGCAAACAGG
rnacentral:rRNA from 1 species